GGWWRAGGAUGCCUCUGCAUAUGCRUWCGUCCGAGGAUGAGCCCGCGUCUCAUUAGCUAGUUGGUAGGGUAAUGGCCUACCAAGGCAACGAUGAGUAGCUGGUCUGAGAGGAUGAUCAGCCACACUGGAACUGAAACACGGUCCAGACUCCUACGGGAGGCAGCAGUGGGGAAUAUUGCGCAAUGGGCGAAAGCCUGACGCAGCAACGCCGUGUGAGGGAUGAAGGCUUUCGGGUCGUAAACCUCUGUCGGAAGGGAAGAACGGGCAUUGGUCUAAUAGGCCUUUGUUUUGACGGUACCUUUAGAGGAAGCACCGGCUAACUCCGUGCCAGCAGCCGCGGUAAUACGGAGGGUGCAAGCGUUAUUCGGAAUUACUGGGCGUAAAGCGCACGUAGGCGGCCUUGUAAGUCAGGGGUGAAAUCCCACGGCUCAACCGUGGAACUGCCUUUGAAACUGCAGGGCUUGAAUCCUGGAGAGGGUGGCGGAAUUCCUGGUGUAGGAGUGAAAUCCGUAGAUAUCAGGAGGAACACCGGUGGCGAAGGCGGCCACCUGGACAGGUAUUGACGCUGAGGUGCGAAAGUGUGGGGAGCAAACAGGAUUAGAUACCCUGGUAGUCCACACCGUAAACGAUGGAUACUAGGUGUCGGGGACUUGAUCUUCGGUGCCGUAGCUAACGCGUUAAGUAUCCCGCCUGGGGAGUACGGUCGCAAGGCUGAAACUCAAAGAAA
rnacentral:rRNA from 1 species